CCUACGGGAGGCAGCAGUGAGGAAUAUUGGUCAAUGGGCUUACGCCUGAACCAGCCAAGUCGCGUGAGGGAAGACUGCCCUAUGGGUUGUAAACCUCUUUUGUCAGGGAGCAAUUGGCGCUACGUGUAGCGUUAUCGAGAGUACCUGAAGAAAAAGCAUCGGCUAACUCCGUGCCAGCAGCCGCGGUAAUACGGAGGAUGCGAGCGUUAUCCGGAUUUAUUGGGUUUAAAGGGAGCGUAGAUGGGUUGUUAAGUCAGUUGUGAAAGUUUGCGGCUCAACCUGUGGCCUGCAUUUGAAACUGUAGUUCGUGAGUACUGGUGAGGCAGACGGAAUUCCUAGUGUAGCGGUGAAAUGCGUAGAUAUUAGGAGGAACACCAGUGGCGAAGGCGGUCUGCUGGACAGCAACUGACGCUGAGGCGCGAAAGCGUGGGGAGCAAACAGGAUUAGAUACCCUAGUAGUC
rnacentral:rRNA from 1 species